rnacentral:rRNA from 1 species
UGGGGAACAUGACCUUCGGCGGGGGAUAGCCGGCCCAACGGCCUGGUAAUACCGCGUACGACCACUUUGGGACAUCCCUCGGUGGUGAAAGCAGCAAUGCGCCGAUGGAGUGCCUCGCGGCCUAUCAGCUAGUUGGUGAGGUAACGGCUCACCAAGGCGACGACGGGUAGCUGGUCUGAGAGGAUGGCCAGCCACAGUUGGGACUGAGACACGGCCCAGACCUCCGUACGGGAGCAG